UAAAGUGGAUCAGAAAACACGGAUUUACAUGCCUUCACCAUCCUGGUUGCCUGGUUAACAACAGGCUUAGCAUGUCUGGGCCUCAGUUUCCCCAUCUGUAAAAUAAAGAGGUUUGAUUUCAUGAUCUUUAAGGUCAUUUUAAUACCAACGUUCUGUGUUAAACUCAGGAACCCCUGCAAAGAUGUCCACAUACAUUUCUAAGCAGGGGACGUCCCCCUCCCCUAAAUGUUCCUGUCACGUUUAUCUGCUGACGGUAGAAAAUGGAGACAUUUAUUUAUUCAAUUUCUCUUUCUCCAACAAAUAGUUUCUGAGUGCCACGAUGUUCCAGGUAAGACCCAUCAAGGGUCUCCUGUUCUAUUCCCAGCUCUGGCAGGAAGCAGGCAGGGAGAGUGGAUUGGGUGCCUGGGGGACCCUGUAGCAUCCAUGGGAGCUUGUACCUGUGCCAAGCGCAUUUUAAAAAGGAUGCGACUCCCAGGCCAGACUGCUCAUUGCUUUCUCCUGGACCUAAGUCUGUCAGCAAAUCUGGUUGGCAGGCACCUCUGCUACUUGAAUUUUGCAGAGACCAGCCUCAUUGAACUCACCCAAACACUGUCAACAUGUGAAGGCAGGGUGGAGAGAAUGCAAAUACUAAUGAGGAUUGUGAGAUAUCAAAUUCCACAGAGUCUGGUAGGAACACUGCUUUGACUUCUCUUUAAAAGAAAACCUAGCUAGGAGUUCCUACUGCGGCUCAACAGGAUUGACAGCAUCUUGGGAGGGAGCACUGGGACACAGGUUUGAUCCCUGGGUGGGCACAGUGGGUUAAGGAUCUGUUGUUACCACAGCCGUGGUUUAGGUCGCAACCGCGGCUUGAUUCUGAUCCUUGGCCAGGGAACUCCAUAUUCCAAGGAGUGGCCACAAAAGGAAAGAAAAGAAAACCUAGCUCUUGUGUGUUAAUUCAUUUCAGCCUCUCAAUAUAAGCCCGUGCAGUAGAGAUUGUCACCUUUGUUUUAAUGAAUGGGGAAACUGAUGAGAAGCUGCAAGUUUUAGAACUUGCCCAGGGUACUAGUUUCUAAAGGUGGAGCCAGGGUUAUGGACUUAGGCUGCCAAGCUUUACGGGCACUGCUCUUUUAAAAAAUUUUUAUUUAUUUAUAUUAUU
rnacentral:lncRNA from 1 species